rnacentral:lncRNA from 1 species
GAACACCCGUGGCGGUCGGCGUCCAAAUGCAUGUCCACUCUCUAAGUCAAACAGUUUUCAUCUGAUCUUCACCAAACUUGGUGACAAUGUUUGUGGGCAUAAUAUCUUGACCAAGGUCGAUAACCAGUAAGAGUACAAGAUGACGUAACUUCACGCUGCUAUACAGCUAGACUGCUAACACCACGCAGCAUUGUCAUGAAAGUUGAUCAGAAUGUUUAUCUUGAUGAUCCUUUAUGUCAAGUUCAAACCUGGGUCAUGUGGGGUCAAAAACUAGUUCAGGUGCUCAAAUUACAAGUUUAUUCAAAUCAUGACCCCUGGGGUCACAUAGAUAAAGUACCAGGUAGUAGUAAACUUAAAAUCUUCUUCUACCACCGGGCACAGACCUUACAUAUAUUGCAUUUAGCAUAUUUAACAGGUGAACAAUACAGGGUCAUCAUGACCCUCUUGUUGGGAAUAUUUUAAGUAUCAAUCGUAUGGGACAGCACAGCAGAACAUAUAAUGGUCAGGUUAUAGGGGUAAUGUCUUUAAACAGAAGCAUGCUGUUGUGGAGUGAAAGUGCGCAAACCAUUGAUAACCCUUUGGAGAAUCAGUACCAGGUGUGGCAAGAAGUUUGAAAUCAAAGUCACAAGAAGUUGUUUGAUGAUGGAAGUAUCUGUGAUCAUUUAGUAUUUCCAGUGGUUCAGAGGAACAGAUUACACUCAUUUAAAACUAAAUGUGAUAUUUAUCUAUUUGUGAAAUAACGAGGACUUAAUGAGGAUAAAAUGUUAAGAAGACAAACCUGAUGCAGCAACAAUUUUGUGACAGUAUCAGUGUAAUAUUUAACCAUGUACAACUGUUUAACUGUUUUUCAUUAUAAAUGCAGUAAAAGGUAAUACAAUGUUAAAACUGCUUUACACUUUUUAUGCGAGGGAAUAUGUUGUAUAUGGUCACUAUAGAUGUUUUUCCAUUUGAUGAAAUGAUAUUGUGGGUGAACCGGUGAAGAAUAUAUUGACCAAAUCUGUCAUGUUGACCAUAAUGUUCCGUGCAACCUUUAUUGUACAAAAAGUAGAUUUGUAAUAGCACCAAAUAAUAGUGAGAUUAGAAGGCCAGUGUGCAAACCACAGCUAUCCGCCCACCACCAGUAGAUAUAUUAAGGCAAAAAUCGUCAUCUCGGCGCAAAAACUGUAUGCAUGUUUGUGCUUCUUUACUUCAAUGAGCCCACAUUUGGCGCUGAGGUGACAUUAUAAUUAAAAAAAAAACCUAAUACCUCCUCAUCGGUAACACUACAGUUAUUUACGUUGCUUACAGUUAAGCAUGAUAAAAAAAUAUGGAAUAAAAAUCUUGAUAAAAUUUA